GAGAUACCCUUAUGGGGUAAGACUUGUUUCAGGGGGGCUUUGGUGCUCACUGAGUCUGCCCCCUGAGUGUGUCCCU
rfam:Myotis lucifugus cont2.9848, whole genome shotgun sequence.